AAGUCGUAACAAGGUCUCCGUUGGUGAACCAGCGGAGGGAUCAUUACCGAGUUUACAACUCCCAAACCCAAUGUGAACGUUACCAAUCUGUUGCCUCGGCGGGAUUCUCUGCCCCGGGCGCGUCGCAGCCCCGGAUCCCAUGGCGCCCGCCGGAGGACCAACUCAAACUCUUUUUUCUCUCCGUCGCGGCCUACGUCGCGGCUCUGUUUUAUUUUUGCUCUGAGCCUUUCUCGGCGACCCUAGCGGGCGUCUCGAAAUGAAUCAAAA
rnacentral:misc_RNA from 1 species